UAUGUGAUCGUCUCUCGCAUAUCAAUAAGCGGAGGAAAAGAAACUAACAAGGAUUCCCCUAGUAACGGCGAGUGAAGCGGGAAGAGCUCGAAUUUGAAAUCUUAAAGGGUUUCCCUUUACGAAUUGUAGUUUAAAGAAGUGUUUUCUGUUGAAGUUUUGGUAAAAGUUCUUUGGAAUAGGACAUCAUAGAGGGUGAGAAUCCCGUAUUUGACCUUUACUUUCAACUUUGUGAUACACUUUCAAAGAGUCGGAUUGUUUGGGAAUGCAGUCCAAAAUGGGUGGUAAAUUUCAAUCUAAAGCUAAAUAUUGGCGAGAGACCGAUAGCGAACAAGUACCGUGAGGGAAAGAUGAAAAGAACUUUGAAAAGAGAGUUAAACAGUACGUGAAAUUGUCAAAAGGGAAGCGUUUGACACCAGUGUUGUUUUUCUGAAAAUCAAUUAAAGAACUGUUUAUGCUAAGUUGUUUAGACUUUAUCAGCUAACUGUUUAGUUUUGAGCUUUUCUUUAAUGCACUUUUCAGUUAACAAGUCAACAUCAAUUUCUUUUGCUGUAAAAAAGCUUGAGGAAGGUGGCUUGAGAUUCGUCUUAAGUGUUUAUAGCCUCUUGCCUAUGCAGUCGGAGAGAUUGAGGUCUGCAGCGUAGAUCCUUCGGGGCUAAAUGCAUUUGUGCUAAGUUAUAGCAUUUUAUAGACAACUUGUUGACUAUGAUUUGUCUUGUAGCUUACUCGCUUAUGUUAUUUUACCUACGCUUAGGAUGUUGACACACGCGCGUGCUCG
rnacentral:rRNA from 1 species